CAGGGAGACAACAAAAUGUUUAAUAUUAUUAUUUUGUCACCUUAGGUCGAUCGGUAUCUCACGUUCUUAAUUUAUUAAGAAUUUUAUUUCCUAAGUUUUUCUAGGUCACACCCAUUAUUUUUCCUGGGCCAUUAGCUCAGGUGGUUAGAGCGCACCCCUGAUAAGGGUGAGGUCCCUGGUUCAAGUCCAGGAUGGCCCAUAUCUCUAUGUUGGGGGUAUAGCUCAGUUGGUAGAGCGCCUGCUUUGCAAGCAGGAUGUCAGCGGUUCGAGUCCGCUUACCUCCACUGAUUACCACCUCUUCCAUAAUUUGUAUUAGGGAAAUGUUUUGAGUAGUGAUCAAAUUCUGAACGAAUCUAGCUUCCUAAUGAAACCAUUAAGACGCUGGACUCAUUGAAUUAAUUUCAUUGUUUUCAGAGAACCUUGACAACUGCAUAGAUUAUUUUUAAAGACAAUAAGCAUCUUUAUGAUGCAGAUUUAUUAUUUGUGCGAAUGCAUUAAUAACAAUUCUAUUUAAGCUGAUGCUUCAAUUAUGAAGUUAUU
rnacentral:tRNA from 1 species